rnacentral:rRNA from 1 species
AUCUACGGCCAGGCCACCCUGAACAAGCUGAUCCCAUCUGAUCUCAGAAGCUAAGCAGGGUCAGGCCUGGUUAGUACUUGGGUGGGAGACCACUUAGGAAGACCAGGUACUGUAGGUG